rnacentral:rRNA from 1 species
GAUGAACGCUGGCGGCGUGCCUAAUACAUGCAAGUCGAGCGAACAGACGAGGAGCUUGCUCCUUUGACGUGAGCGGCGGGCGGGUGAGUAACACGUGGAUAAUCCACCUAUAAGACGGGGAUAACCUCGGGAAACCGGAGAUAAUACCGGAUAAGAUGCUGCACCGCAUGGUUCAACAGAGAAAGACGGUCUUGCGGGAACUUAUAGAUGGAUCUGCGCGGGAUUAGCUGGUUGGGAAGGUAACGGCUUACCAAGGCAACGAGGCGUAGCCGACCUGAGGGGGUGGUCGCCCACCCUGGAGCUUAGACGCCGUCCUGGCUCCUACGGGAGGCAGCAGUCUCGAAUCUUCCGCAAUGGUCGAAAGCCUUGCGGAAUGACCCCGCGUCUGUGAAGAAGAUCUUCCGAUCGUAAUGCUCUCUUAUUAGUGAUGAACAAAUUUGUAAUUAACUAUGCACGUCUUGACGGUACCUGAUCAGAAAGCCCCGGCUAACUACGUG